AGGAGCCUAGAUCAAGGGGAACUCAUAGUGACAUGAUGAUUAUUGUAUCUUCAGGCAAGGCUUUUUCACUGGAGCUCCUUGUCUGCACCACGCUUCAUUAUAUCAACCAUAACAGGAAAAAGAAGGGGAAUUUCUCUCCAGAUUUUUAUGAC
rnacentral:lncRNA from 1 species